rnacentral:rRNA from 1 species
UAAUACGGGAGUGGCAAGCGUUAUCCGGAAUUAUUGGGCGUAAAGCGUCCGCAGGCGGCCUUUCAAGUCUGCUGUUAAAGCGUGGAGCUUAACUCCAUCUAGGCAGUGGAAACUGUUGGGCUUGAGUGUGGUAGGGGCAGAGGGAAUUCCCGGUGUAGCGGUGAAAUGCGUAGAUAUCGGGAAGAACACCAGUGGCGAAGGCGCUCUGCUGGGCCAUAACUGACGCUCAUGGACGAAAGCCAGGGGAGCGAAAGGGAUUAGAUACCCCUGUAGUCCUGGCCGUAAACGAUGAGCACUAGGUGUCGGGGGAAUCGACCCCUUCGGUGUCGUAGCCAACGCGUUAAGUGUUCCGCCUGGGGAGUACGCACGCAAGUGUG